UCCCAUCUAGCUUGCAAGGAGACCUAAUUUCCUCCCAGAGACUUCUGAAGAUUCUGUUUUAUUUUCCCCUUCUAACAACAUAAACAAUAACGAGAUAUGAUCAUUUAUUUAGCACUCACACUGGGCCAUGCAGUGAGCAGAGAGCUUUCCAUAAAUACGAUUUUACUUCAUCCUUGUGUCUAUUCUAUGAGGCAGGUGCUGUUACUACCCUAGUUUGUAGAUGGAAAAAAAAAAUGGAAGCUCAGAAAAAUGUUAACUCUCUUAAAGUCACACAGCUGAUAAACGCAAAAGGAUUUCUUCUUCCAACAUUCAUUUUCCUGGGAGGCAGUUGUAGACCUUAAUUAACCGGUUAGCUAGUUAGACCGAGACAUGGAGUCUGGAGGGUAAAAUGAUUUUUUUUUUAAAUUUAAUUUAUUUAUUCAUGAGAGACACACACACACAGAGACAGAGAGAGAGAGGCAGAGACACAGGCAGAGGGAGAAGCACGCUCCAUGCAGGGAGCCCGAUGUAGGAUUCGAUCCCAGGACUCCAGGAUCAGGCCCUGGGCUGAAGGCGGCGCUAAACCACUGAGCCACCCAGGCUGCCCUGAUUUUUCUAACACUAUGGCAGACAAAGAAAGCACAGUCCAGCGACCAAAAGAAAUUUCCAGUUAGCUCUGAUUCUUUAUAAGAGCAAUGCUUCCUAAAAUCUCAUUUCUUCCCUAUUUCCUUACUGACCCACAGCUUCUCUGAUCCUUUCUCGCACUAACUACCCUAAAAACCUCCUUCCCCAUUCUAGCCAUUCUCUCUGUGUCCCCUCUUCUUCUCUUCUCUUGCCCAGAUUUCUUAUGUUCUCCCAAUUUUAAAUCACAAAAGCCAAUUAUGCAGGAAUGUGCAAAUAGGACAAACCUGUCAUGGCUGGCCACUCCCCAUUGCCCCAGGUGCCCUUGGGGAGCCGCCAAACUAUACCACCAGCCAGGGGCUGUGCACAGGAGACCAGGACUCUCCUCAAAAGGAAAAGGGAAAGAAAACCCCAAACAGGGCAAAGCCAGGUCACUCUUCAGUUGACAGGGAGAAGACAAAAUUUGAGAGUUCCCAUAUGUGAGUCAUUUUGGUUCAGUGACAUUUAUUUGUAUGUUUUUUUUUUUUCCUUCAACUAAGCUUGAAUGUCACGAGAUCUGGGUUUACUUUAUGGUAAUAGGAAACCACUGAUGAGAUUUGGUGAAGAAAAUGGCUUAAAUUUAUCCAUAUACAUACAAGGUAAUCUGACUGAAAGGUAAAGGAUAGAAUGAAGAAAUGAAGGAUAAUAAAUGGCAAAAGAGAAUUUCCUUUCCCUUUAGCCCUCUUUUUUUUUUUUUUUUAAUUUUUAUUUAUUUAUGAUAGAGAGAGAGACACACACAGGCAGAGGGAGAAGCAGGCUCCAUGCACCAGGAGCCCGAUGUGGGAUUUGAUCCGGGAUCUCCAGGAUCAUGCCCUGGGCCAAAGGCAGGCACCAAACCGCUGCACCACCCAGGGAUCCCCCCUUUAGCCCUCUUAUCCUAACCCCUGGAAGGACUCUUUGCAAAGACUCAUAUUACACCAGACACUUGUUAGGAAAUAAUGCAUUACUGUUGCAUUGUGGAGGAAGUCACUCUUAGCAAGAGAAAUGUGUGUUUUAGUUCUAUGCUGUUGGUAGUCAUGGCUAAGACACUUCCUUGGAACUGUCAGACAUACUUGGAUGAGAUUUCAGGGGUGUUAGUCCUGUGUCUGGCACAUGGUAGUCAAUAUUUACUCAUUGUGUAGACAAUUUUCCAUUGCAGGAGUGCAUGCAUGAAUACAUGGGUUUGGUGGUCCUGAGAAGGCAGGUAGAGACACGGACAGGGACAUUUAAGCUAUUACAAUUGCAUAACUUCAUCUCUUCCAAUAGAUUGGUGGUUCCAGGUUAGGCGGAGUUUUGAUUUAAUGAUUGUGAAAAAUUAAAAGAAAAUCAAGUUUGAGGGGGUAAUAAUAACAUUGCUUUAGGGUGUUGGUUGAAUUUUAGGGCCGGAAGACUUUAUUAUCUUGUAAUAACCUGACACUCCCACCCGUAGAUGAAGAAUCGAACUACUAUCCUUUAUUUAGUCAACUAAAUAUUAUUGGUGACUACUUUGGUCAGGAAUUAUAACAGGCAUCAUAUAGAGAUGACAAAGAGGCAGCAAAAUCAGUCAUAUUUAAAUUAGCCAUAAAGAAUGCACGGUCUGGGGUGAACAGUAUAAUACGAGGUGAUGGGUGCCAUAAUUAAGGUAUAGACUGAGUCACGUAGGCCAAGGUGGAAAGGAGUGUAUGAGUUACAGUGGAGCACGCCUCACAGAAGGAAGGAAUAUUCUGUUGCUGACAUUGUUUAGAGUUGCCAAUGCAUGGUGAUAAUAAAAAGCAGCUAACCUCUAGUCAGUUUUAGAAUUGUUUUUCAAGUUUCCACAGACAAUGUAUCCCCUUUCUGCUUGUUCCCAGGGUAGAUUGCUCUCCCCCUCUCCCAUCUCCCAUCUUUGGUAGGUAUGACACGGAUUCUAACUGCUGUGUGAGCAAAGUGAUAGAAGAGAUUUACUUUUUCUGGGAAAGCUAUAGAAAGAAUAACAAGGCCAGUGGCAUUUAAACUGGAUUUUGAAAAGAACUAAGAGUUCAUCUAGUUAUCUAGAAUUAAAUGUUAUAAAAUAUUAAUUCCCUGCUGGAUUGUGGAGCCCAUUGUUCUGUGUGGCGUACCAUAAUUCACGGACCGGUACUACCUUUCGCCAUAGUCAGCUGAGAAGUACCACUGCUGGGGUGUCUGCAUGGCGCAGUUGGUUGAGUGUCCAACUCUUGGUUUCAGCUUAGGUCAUGAUCUUGUGGUUCUGGGAUCGAGCCCUGCAUCUGCAGAGAGUC
rnacentral:lncRNA from 1 species